GACAGCAGCAGCCACGGGAAUACGUAGGUGGCAAGCGUUGUCCGGAAUUAUUGGGCGUAAAGGGCUCGCAGGCGGUUUCUUAAGUCUGAUGUGAAAGCCCCCGGCUCAACCGGGGAGGGUCAUUGGAAACUGGGAAACUUGAGUGCAGAAGAGGAGAGUGGAAUUCCACGUGUAGCGGUGAAAUGCGUAGAGAUGUGGAGGAACACCAGUGGCGAAGGCGACUCUCUGGUCUGUAACUGACGCUGAGGAGCGAAAGCGUGGGGAGCGAACAGGAUUAGAUACCCGUGUAGUCCCUGUCUCUUAUAC
rnacentral:rRNA from 1 species